rnacentral:lncRNA from 1 species
UCUUUCAAAAUCGUUUCUAGAAUAUGCCAUGACAGCUCAAAAUCAAGAAAAAUAAUGAAGAAAGAUUCAACAAAAAUGAGAAGAAUAGAAGAGGAAUAAAAAACCAUAGAUCUGAAUUUUUAAAAAAUGGAUCUGUGCUUCUAGAAAUUUACUUUUUAUUUAUUUGUGUUUAAUUAAAAUAGAAUUGUGGUUUGAACAAGA